GGAUGGGUGGCAGAGCGGUCGAAUGCGCCGGUCUUGAAAACCGGAAUGGGUGCAAGCCCAUCGUGGGUUCGAAUCCCACCCCAUCCG
rnacentral:tRNA from 2 species